rnacentral:rRNA from 1 species
UGGGGAAUUUUGGACAAUGGGGGAAACCCUGAUCCAGCCAUCCCGCGUGUGCGAUGAAGGCCUUCGGGUUGUAAAGCACUUUUGGCAGGAAAGAAACGUCGCGGGUUAAUACCCCGCGAAACUGACGGUACCUGCAGAAUAAGCACCGGCUAACUACGUGCCAGCAGCCGCGGUAAUACGUAGGGUGCAAGCGUUAAUCGGAAUUACUGGGCGUAAAGCGUGCGCAGGCGGUUCGGAAAGAAAGAUGUGAAAUCCCAGAGCUUAACUUUGGAACUGCAUUUUUAACUACCGGGCUAGAGUGUGUCAGAGGGAGGUGGAAUUCCGCGUGUAGCAGUGAAAUGCGUAGAUAUGCGGAGGAACACCGAUGGCGAAGGCAGCCUCCUGGGAUAACACUGACGCUCAUGCACGAAAGCGUGGGGAGCAAACAGGAUUAGAUACCCUGGUAGUCCACGCCCUAAACGAUGUCAACUAGCUGUUGGGGGCCUUCGGGCCUUGGUAGCGCAGCUAACGCGUGAAGUUGGCCGCCU